rnacentral:rRNA from 1 species
UACGUAGGGACCAAGCGUUGUUCGGAUUUACUGGGCGUAAAGGGCGCGUAGGCGGCAAUUCAAGUCAGCUGUGAAAUCUCCGAGCUUAACUCGGAACGGUCAGCUGAUACUGUUUUGCUAGAGUACAGAAGGGGCAAUCGGAAUUCUUGGUGUAGCGGUGAAAUGCGUAGAUAUCAAGAGGAACACCUGAGGUGAAGACGGGUUGCUGGGCUGAUACUGACGCUG